CUCCUACGGGAGGCAGCAGUGGGGAAUAUUGGACAAUGGGCGAAAGCCUGAUCCAGCCAUGCCGCGUGUGUGAAGAAGGUCUUCGGAUUGUAAAGCACUUUAAGUUGGGAGGAAGGGCAGUAAGUUAAUACCUUGCUGUUUUGACGUUACCAACAGAAUAAGCACCGGCUAACUUCGUGCCAGCAGCCGCGGUAAUACGAAGGGUGCAAGCGUUAAUCGGAAUUACUGGGCGUAAAGCGCGCGUAGGUGGUUCAGCAAGUUGGAUGUGAAAUCCCCGGGCUCAACCUGGGAACUGCAUCCAAAACUACUGAGCUAGAGUACGGUAGAGGGUGGUGGAAUUUCCUGUGUAGCGGUGAAAUGCGUAGAUAUAGGAAGGAACACCAGUGGCGAAGGCGACCACCUGGGCUGAUACUGACACUGAGGUGCGAAAGCGUGGGGAGCAGACAGGAUUAGAUACCCUGGUAGUCCACGCCGUAAACGAUGUCGACUAGCCGUUGGGAUCCUUGAGAUCUUAGUGGCGCAGCUAACGCGAUAAGUCGACCGCCUGGGGAGUACGGCCGCAAGGUUGAAACUCAAAGGAAUUGACGGA
rnacentral:rRNA from 1 species